UACGGGGGGGGUAAGCGUUGUUCGGAAUUACUGGGCGUAAAGGGCUCGUAGGCGGCCAACUAAGUCAUACGUGAAAUCCCUCAGCUUAACUGGGGAACUGCGUGUGAUACUGGAUGGCUUGGAUUUGGGAGAGGGAUGCGGAAUUCCAGGUGUAGCGGUGAAAUGCGUAGAUAUCUGGAGGAACACCGGUGGCGAAGGCGGCUCGCUGGGCCGUUCCUGACGCUGAGACACGAAAGCGUGGGGAGCAAACAGG
rnacentral:rRNA from 1 species